rnacentral:rRNA from 1 species
UACGGAGGGAGCAAGCCGUUACUCGGAAUUAUUGGGCGUAAAGGGCGCCGUAGGCGAUUCGAUAAGUCUCAUGUGAAAUCCCAGGGCCUAACCCUGGAAUGGCAUGGGAUACUGUUGGAUUUGAGUUCCGGAGAGGAAGGCAGAAUUCCCGGUGUAGCGGUGAAAUGCGUAGAUAUCGGGAGGAAUACCAGUGGCGAAGGCGGUCUUCUGGACGGAUACUGACGCUGAGGCGCGAAGCCAGGGGAGCAAACGGG